GGUGCAAAUGAUGUUUACAUGCGAUCAAAGUAUGAUCUGCGAUGAUUACACUCUUUUUAACGACUGAUGCACC